rnacentral:tRNA from 1 species
GGAGAGAUGGCUCAGUGGUUAAGAGCAUUCACUGCUCUUCUGAAGGUCCUGGGUUCAAAUCCCAGCAUCCACA